GGUGUUGUAGUAUACUGGUUCAUUCACUUGACCCUCUAUUCAAAGGUUGUGGGUUCGAAUCCCACUAACGUCC
rnacentral:tRNA from 1 species